rnacentral:lncRNA from 1 species
GGUAAAGAUAGUAAUUUCAUUAGAUGCAAGUAUAUAUUUAUAAAAAAUCGUAAAUUACUCAUGACAGUAUACCAGCAUGUAGGUCAAGAGUAAGUCUAACUAAAUAUAAUUAGGUAGAGUAACGAAAGGACAGAUGGCUUUUACAUGUUUCUGGCCAUAUAUACACAAGCCUUUGUAAUUCGAGUCUUGCAAAUUAUUUCCCAAAGCAGUUUGUAUGAACUUGUCCCGGCACGUACCAUGCAGUAGCCUCCCUUAAUUUGACAUGGCCUCCUUUCCUUCACAUGUAACGAGGCUGACAGAACGCACGCAGCUCCCCUUGGUCAGUUAUCCCAGGAACAAACACAGUCAUGGAGACCUAAGAGGGUAUCAAGUAAGUCUAUCCAGGCCUACCUUCUUGAAGUAGAAAGCAAUUUAAGGGACACGAGCAAGAAAAGUGAGGAUCCUUCUUUGCACAGACUCGAUCCUGCGGCAUGCGGAGCCUGAGCUGGCUUAGCACAGUCCAGUUCAGGGAGGCAUUGCCUACUUGGUAUCGGAGUUCUAAUGUCAUGAAGAGAGCACUAGUUCUAAGAGUAUUCCACAACAGAGUUAUUGUUGUUGAAAGGCAACAGGAAGAAAAACACCUACAAAGGCAGAUCUAUAAAUCUGGUGCCUGCACAUCAACUUCUAUAAGUCAAAUGAUCUCCGCUGGAUCCCUUGGGUUCCGAAAAUGUAUCUCUAACAUGGGGACUUUGACAACACUGAUUCAGAGAGUUUUUGCAAGAAUAAAGAAAUAG